CUAUAUAUACCCUGUAGAACCGAAUUUGUGUGGUAUCCGUAUAGUCACAGAUUCGAUUCUAGGGGAAUAUAUGGU
rnacentral:pre_miRNA from 9 species